CAUACACAUGGUUAGCGGAUGUUAAUGCGAGUGUAGCGAAAUGCUUGUGCUUCUAGUUCCGACAAUGCAGUAAUAACCAACAAGUAAUCUAACUAACAAUUCCAAAAAACUACUGUCUUAUACACAGUGUAAGGGGAUAAAGAAUAUGUACAUAAGGAUAUAUGAAUGAGUGAUGGUACAGAGCAGCAUAGGCAAGAUACAGUAGAUGGUAUCGAGUACAGUAUAUACAUAUGAGAUGAGUAUGUAAACCAAGUGGCAUAGUUAAAGUGGCUAGUGAUACAUGUAUUACAUAAGGAUGCAGUCGAUGAUAUAGAGUACAGUAUCUACGUAUGCAUAUGAGAUGAAUAAUGUAGGGUAAGUAACAUUAUAUAAGGUAGCAUUGUUUAAAGUGGCUAGUGAUAUAUUUACAUCAUUCCCAUCAAUUCCCAUAAUUAAAGUGGCUGGAGUUGAGUCAGUGUCAUUGACAGUGUGUUGGCAGUAGCCACUCAAUGUUAGUGGUGGCUGUUUAACAGUCUGAUGGCCUUGAGAUAGAAGCUGUUUUUCAGUCUCUCGGUCCCAGCUUUGAUGCACCUGUACUGACCUCGCCUUCUGGAUGACAGCGGGGUGAACAGGCAGUGGCUCGGGUGGUUGAUGUCCUUGAUGAUCUUUAUGGCCUUCCUGUAACAUCGGGUGGUGUAGGUGUCCUGGAGGGCAGGUAGUUUGCCCCUGGUGAUGCGUUGUGCAGACCUCACUACCCUCUGGAGAGCCUUACGGUUGAGGGCGGUGCAGUUGCCAUACCAGGUGGUGAUACAGCCCGCCAGGAUGCUCUCGAUUGUGCAUCUGUAGAAGUUUGUGAGUGCUUUUGGUGACAAGCCGAAUUUCUUCAGCCUCCUGAGGUUGAAGAGGCGCUGCUGCGCCUUCCUCACGAUGCUGUCUGUGUGAGUGGACCAAUUCAGUUUGUCUGUGAUGUGUAUGCCGAGGAACUUAAAACUUGCUACCCUCUCCACUACUGUUCCAUUGAUGUGGAUCAACCCGGUUAGUAGCCGUUACCGUUCAUUACCAGUGCUCGGUGUCUCUCCAGUGGUGUGGUAAUGUUUCCUCGCUCUGUCUCUCAAUUCAUUUCAAUCCAAGGGGUUUUAUUGGCAUGGAAAACAUAUGUUUACAUUGCCAAAGCAAGUGAAAUAGGUAAUAAACAAAAGUGAAAUAAACAAUACAAAAUAAACAGUUUAACUUUACACUCAAAAAGUUCCAAAAGAAUAAAAGACAUUUCAAAGAUCCUAUUAUGUCUAUAUACAGUGUUGUAACUAUGCGCAAAUAGUAUAAAAGGGAAAAUAAAUAAACAUAAAUAUGGGUUGUAUGGUGAUUCUGCUUCACUGGUUGCCCUUUUCUUGUGGCAGUUUCCACCUCAUUCAUAGCCGCUCUUCUCUCAAUAGCAAGGCUAUGCUCACUGAGUCUGUACAUAGUCAAAGCUUUCCUUAAGUUUGGGUCAGUCACAGUGGUCAGGUAUUCUGCCACUAUAUACUCUCUGUUUAGGGCCAAAUAGCAUUCUAUUGCUGUUUUUUUGUUAAUUCUUUCUAAUGUGUCAAAGUAAUUAUCUUUUUGUUUUCUCAUGAUUUGGUUGGGUCUAAUUGUGUUGCUGUCCUGGGGCUCUGUAGGGUGUGUUUGUGUUUGUGAACAGAGCCCCAGGACCAGCUUGCUUAGUGGACUCUUCUCCAGGUUCAUCUCUCUGUAGGUGAUGGCUUUGUUACAGAAGGUUUGGGAAUCGCUUCUUUUUAGGUGGUUGUAGAUUUGAAAUGCUCUUUUCUGUAUUUUGAUAAUUAGUUGGUAUCGGCCUAAUUCUGCUCUGCAUGCAUUAUUUGGUGUUUCACAUUGUACACGGGGGAUAUUUUUGCAGAAUUUUGCAUGCAGAGUCUCAAUUUGGUGUUUGUCCCAUUUUGUGAAGUCUUGGUUGGUGAGCGGAGUCAUUUUAGCCAGAUCCUAAUUGGUAUGUCAAAUUGUAUGUUCCUUUUGAUGGCAUAGAAGGCCCUUCUUGCCUUUAAAAACAAGUUUUAAUGACUCCAACUUAAGUGUUUGUAAACCUCCUGCUUCAACUGUAUAUAUAAAAAACAAUGGGUACAUAUUGAAGAUGUCCACGUUCAUCCCCAGAAUCUUUUCACAUGUUAAUUUUCUGAAAAUAGCUGUGCAGCAACACCCCCCAUCCAAACUGCCACAGCUUGAGAGGAUCUGCUGAGAAGAAGGGGAGAAACUCCUUAAAUACAGGUGUGCCAAGCUUGUAGCGUCAUACCCAAGAAGACUCCAGGCUGUAAUCGCUGUCGAACGUGCUUCAACAAAGUACUGAGUAAAUGGUCCGAAUGCCUAUGUAAAUGUGAUAUUUCAGUUUAAAAAAUAAAUAAAUUGUAAUACAUUUGCAAACAUUUCUAAAAACCUCUUUUUGCUUUGUCAUUAUGGGGUAUUGUGUGUAUGAUUGAUGAGGAAAAAAUAGAAUUUAAGAAUAAGGCUGUAACGUAACAAAAUGUGGAGAAGGUCAAGGGGAUCUGAAUACUUUCUGAAGGCACUACCCAAGAUGCAUCUGUUCUGGCGGCGGCCCAACGUCUCAUUAAGACACUUUAUGUUGGAGUUUCCCCUAUUUUGGCAGAAACCUGUAUAUCCUGUGUUUAAACCUACAUCUGGGAUAUUUUGAAUAUAGACGUAGUUUAUACUGUACGAGAUGUGGUUUUCCAAAUAUAGUCAUAUGCUAUUCGUUUUGUCUGUAGCCUGUUCAAUACAUUUGCAUCUCUUUACAAUGAAUUAAAAUCACACUUAAAAGGUUUGAAAGUCCAUUGAAUUGUUGAUUUUAUACACAAAUAAAUUAACUCAAUAUGUGAGGUUCUAAUGAAGAGUUAAAAAGAUUAUUACAAUCAAUCAAUCAAUCAUUCAAUUAUUCUACUCUCAAAUAAGUUGAUCAGGGCCAAUAGUCUGUUAUGACCAAUGAUCAGGGCCAAUAGUCUGUUAUGACCAAUGAUCAGGGCCAAUAGUCUGUUAUGACCAAUGAUCAGGGCCAAUAGUCUGUUAUGACCAAUGAUCAGGGCCAAUAGUCUGUUAUGACCAAUGAACAGGGCCAAUAGUCUGUUAUGACCAAUGAACAGGGCCAAUAGUCUGUUAUGACCAAUGAUCAGGGCCAAUAGUCUGUUAUGACCAAUGAUCAGGGCCAAUAGUCUGUUAUGACCAAUGAACAGGGCCAAUAGUCUGUUAUGACCAAUGAACAGGGCCGGUUAUUCAAAAACACAAACCGAGAAUCAACAUAACAGCUACAGAAUUCCUCACAAGAUGUGAACAACCAGUACAUGUGCUUGGUAUAUACAUGUACCAAACACCAGAGUCCAUCAAUUUUAAGUGUCUUUCUGUUCUUUUCUACAGAAACCUAAAUGAGUCUUUCACAGGGUGCCAGGAAUCUUACUCCGUGGAAGACACGUCAUCACAGACGUUGGCUGUAGAUCACCUGGGUGGUUGUCUGUCGAUGGACAGUGGAGAUUCAAUGUGGAGAUUCAUCAGAAAAUUGCCAGAAAAUCAGUACUGAUGUUCUGUGGUCAGAGGCGACCACCAGCUGCUUUCAACCAUUCGCCAAACAGUGUGAUUGGUCCAUUAGAACUCGCCCCAGGUGGGUGAUGCAGGGUCGCAGAGCCAAUCAGGACUGUCCAGGAUGUCGGAGAGGGACAAUUCUAUUGGGGGUUCAAUGGCUGGGGUAGACAAGUUCAGAGGGUACAUGGUCAGAGGGUAGGAGAUGGGUGACAGUGUAGGAGCAGGGAUAGUUGGAGGGGCAAGAUUAGUUAUUGGGGUAGUUGGAUGGGCAAGAUUAUUUAUCGAGGUAGUUAGAGGGGAAAUAUUAGUUUUUGGGGUAAUUGGAGAGGAACAAAUAUUGUUUGGGGCAAUCAGAGAGGCAUUAUUAGAUAUUGGGGAAUAUAGAGUGGAAAGCAAAGGGUAGGGGUUAGUCACAUGGGCAGUUGAAGGAACAGUGACGAGAGUGGGGAGUGGUAAACAAGUCCUCUGCCCUCCAGGUACUGGGGCAAGAAGAGAGCCCGGGGUAGUUUGAGGGGACACAGCGGGUGCCGGGGUAGUUUGAGGGGACACAGCGGGUGCCGGGGUGGUUUGAGGUGACACAGCGGGUGCAGGGGUAGUCACAGGGGCAAUAGAUGACGCGGAGGGGGACAGGAUCUGGCAGCAGGGGAUAUUGGCGGGUAUAGACGAGGGCCGGAGGGUGCAGGCAGAUUCAUGUUGCUCAAGGGUGGCUGUGUAGAGCCGGAACUCUCUUCUCAGACCAGCAAUCUCCUUCUCUAGAGCUGAGUUAGAACUUUCCAAGGUCUGUAGAUCCU
ensembl:lncRNA